rnacentral:sRNA from 1 species
GGCGGGAAGCCACUGCAAACGAAACUGUUUAGCGUUGACCGUCGUCAGCCCUGUUUCGUAUGCAGCAUAAUUGACGCAUUGUUGAAAUUGGUAUCGCAUGAAUCCCAUCCUCAUUAAUAAGCUUCAGCGAAAGCUGGGCUACACUUUUA